AGAGUUCGAUCCUGCUCAGGAUGACGCUGGGCAUCUUAACACAUGCACUUUCGAACGGGAUUGGUGUUGCCAUUGGCGAACGUGAGUACGCGUCAGAACCUGCCCUUGGAGGGGAACACAACUGUAAACGGUUUGCUAAUACCGCCGUAGGCUGAUGAGCAAAGGAGAAUCCGCCCAAGGAGGGGCCGCGUCUGAUUAGCUAGUUUGGUGAGGCAAGCUUACCAGGCGAUGAUCAGUAGCUGUCCGCGAGAUGAUCCCGCCACCGGGACUGAGACCACGGCCCAGACUCCUACGGGAGGCAGCCGUGUGGGAAUUUUCCGGCAAUGGGCGAAGCCACGGACAAUGCUCGCGUGGAGUGGAAGCCCUACGGGUCGUCAACUUCUUUUCUCGGAGAAGAACAAUGACGGUAUCUGAGGAAUAAGCCAUCGGCUAACUCUGUGCCAGCAAGCCGCGUAAGACAGAGAUGCAACUUAUCCCGGAAUGAUUGGGCAUCAAGCGUCUGUAGGUGGCUGUUUCAAGUCCUCUCCUGGUUUUGUCAAAUCCGGGCUCAACCCUGACAAGGCGGUGGAAACACCAAGAGCUGGGUACGGUAGGGGCAGAGGGAAUUUCGUUGGAGCGGUGAAAUGCUUGGAUCGGAAAGAACCACCAACGGCGAAAGCACUCGCUGGGGGCCGACACUGACACUGAGAGCGGAAAGCUAGGGAGCAAAUGGGAUUAGAUGCCCCAUUAGUCCCUAGCCUAACGAUGGAUACUAGUGCUGGUGCGACCGACCCGUGCAGUGCUGUAGCUAAGCCGUUAAGUAAUCCCGCCUGGGGAGUACGUUCUCAAGAAUGAACUCAAAGUAAUUACGGGGGGCCCGCACAAGCGGUGGAGCAUGAGGUUUAAUUCGAUGCAAAGCGAAGACCUUACCCAGGGCUUGACAUGCCGCGAAUCCCUCUGAAAGAGAGGGGUGCCCUCCGGGAACGCGGACACGGUGGUGUGCAUGGCUUUCGUCAGCUCGUGGCGUAAGGUGUUUUGGUUAAGUCUCGCAACGAGCGCAACCCUCGUGUUCAGUUGCCACUAUGAGUUGGAACCCUGAACAGACCCCGCCGGUGUUAGCCGGAGAGGCUGUAUGAGGCCAAGUCUCAUGCCCCUUAAGGCCCUGGUCGAGACACACACUUCGACCAUGGGGCCGGGACAAAGGUUCGCGAUCUCGCGAGGGGUGAGUAACUCCAAAAACCGUCUCCUUUCGGAUUUGCAGAGGCCGCAACUCGCCUGCAUGAAGCAGGAAUCGCUAUAUCUCCGUUCCACCAUACGGCGUUGAAUCCGUUUCCCGGGCCUUGUACACACCGCCGUCACCUAUAGGAGCUGGCCAUGUUGAAGUCCUUACCCUUACCGUAAGGAGGGGGAUGCCGAAGGCUAGGCUUGCGACUGGAGUGAAGUUCGUAACAAGGUAUGCCGUACUGGAAGGUCGGCUG
rnacentral:rRNA from 1 species